UACAGGGGGGUCAAGCGUUGUUCGGAAUUACUGGGCGUAAAGGGCCAGUAGGCGGCCAACUAAGUCCGACGUGAAAUCCCUAGGCUUAACCUAGGAACUGCGUCGGAUACUGGAUGGCUUGAAUUCGGGAGAGGGAUGCAGAAUUCCAGGUGUAGCGGUGAAAUGCGUAGAUAUCUGGAGGAAUACCGGUGGCGAAGGCGGCAUCCUGGACCGACAUUGACGCUGAACGGCGAAAGCUAGGGGAGCAAACGGG
rnacentral:rRNA from 1 species